GAGCAAUGAUAGAAAGGUUUUCUACUGACCUUUACAACUAUGAAGGCUUCUACAGUUGAGCUGAGCUCA
ensembl:snoRNA